GUAGAACAGAUGGGUGUGUCUUUAAGUAGAACAGAUGGGUGUGUCUUUAAGUAGAACAGAUGGGUGUGUCUAAGUAGAACAGAUAGGUGUGUCUUUAAGUAGAACAGAUGGGUGUGUCUUUAAGCAGAACAGGGAGAGUGUGUCUAAGUGGGACAGCUGGGUGUGUCCGAGUGAUAGCAGCAUUAUAAUUUUUCUUUUUCUUUCUUUCUUUCUUUCUUUCUUUCUUUCUUUCUUUCUUUCUUUCUUUCUUUCUUUCUUUCAGCUCUUUGCAUACUCAGGAUUUCCUUCAGGAAGUGCAGAUCUAAUGUAUAAACAGUUAAGUGAUAAAUGAG
ensembl:lncRNA